UUCGUUCGCAACAUGGCACCGGGGGUGAUAUUCGCGUGCUCUCAGUCCGAUCCUCCGUCGUUUCCAAGAAAGAACCAGAAUUUCUUGCAAAGAUCUUUAUAUUCCUCGAGCAUCCGUGCGAGGAGACCAUCAAGAGUGUUAUGGGAAACACUCUCACCCGAGGGCUUUACGAUGCUAAGGGCAGCAGCAUUGACGUUAAUCCGGCUCGAGAGCUCCAAUUUUUGAGAUAGCCAGUUUAAGAACUAUUUCAAGGAGCUUCUCCUCAGACAAUUCCACCUUGCGAGGAGGACGGUCUCUGCAAAAUGCGAGAGCGACGGCGUUACCAAAACACGAUGCAGCUGUGAAAUGCUCGUCGCUAUUCUGUUACAGGGAGAUCUAUUUAUUCGAUCAGGUGCGGUAUAUACGGAACGCCAAUUCCGUUAAUUGCGUUCGUGGACUAUGUCGCUCUCUAAUACUAUAUCUCGUACGUACUCGAUAUACUAUUCGGUAUCAUUCGUGCGGAUGAUACGAUGACGCAUGACAAACGUGUAGUUGAAGUAGGGUGAGAUCGACGUGAGAUUAAAUGCCUUCAAGGAUUGCUUCGUGCUACCGAAACCGUAGACCGCGGAAAUAAGGAGGAGCGAGAAGAGGUGCAUGGAAUACAAAACUUUUUAAUCGCGAACGAUUAAUGACUUGGGCAAGUCGUCAAUGUUCUCUCUGGGCUGAUGAUCGUCGUGCGGCAAGGAAUAUGCGCCGCAAUAAUAAUUUAUCACUUUAAGCUUCUUACUUUAGACUUCGCUACCUCGGAAGAGUUAAACUGAUGAUGUGGCAUGACGGCUGCAUGAUAUGAAUAAUGGAAUGUGUGUAAAAGCAUAAAAAUUGAAAUGAAGAUGCGUAUCAUAAAAAUAAGUUAAAAAAAAAUAAUGCAUAUCAUGCGGUUCCAUAUGGAGUUAAAGAAAGCACGAGCCGAGGAAUUAGAUAUCCGAGAGGAAUCUUUUGCUAUUUUUCUACGUGUUAUCUACGACGUUAAUAAUGACACCGUACAAAAUAAUCAAUGAAUUGUUAUUUUAUUGAAAGAAAAUAUUUUUCGAACAAUAUAAAAUUUUUAUAAAA